UACGUAGGGUGCGAGCGUUAAUCGGAAUUACUGGGCGUAAAGCGUGCGCAGGCGGUUAUAUAAGACAGAUGUGAAAUCCCCGGGCUCCACCUUGGACCUGCAUUUGUGACUGGAUAGCUAGAGUACGGUUGAGGGGGAUGGAAUUUCGCGUGUAGCAGUGAAAAGCGUAGAUAUGCGGAGGAACACCGAUGGCGAAGGCAAUCCCCUGGACCUGUACUGACGCUCAUGCACGAAAGCGUGGGGAGCAAACAGGAUUAGAUACCCUGGUAGUCCACGCCCUAAACGAUGUCAACUGGUUGUUGGGUCUUCACUGACUCAGUAACGAAGCUAACGCGUGAAGUUGACCGCCUGGGGAGUACGGCCGCAAGGUUG
rnacentral:rRNA from 1 species